rnacentral:misc_RNA from 1 species
ACGCGUAUUCGGCGAGAACGUACCAUUGCAAAACUAAACUUUCUGCAUAAAACAUAAAAAAAACAUUAAACAAAUGAAAAACAUUAAAAUUAAGUCACUUAUCGAAGAGCUUAAGUAAAUAACGUGUGCGUACAUUACGUUUAAGGCCUGGAGUUUGUGUGUUGUGUGUGUGUAAAAAGGCAAAAAGACCUAAGGCAAAAGAGGGACGAAGACGAAGAGAAAAUGUCACGCAAAGCAGCAGCCACAGAAAAAGAGUGAAGAAAUUACAUUUGGGGGAAGGAAAAGCGUAUUAAAACUUAACAAUAACAAUAUUCAAAGACUACUGUGAAAAAGGGCGCAAUUUCGAAGGCAAUGCGUGCCUCGCAAAUGAAAUUGCAUUGAAAAAGGAAUCGAAAUAGAAAAUAACGAGUUGUUGUUGUUGUUGAGUAGUUGUUACUCGACUGGCAGACACCUGCGAGCGCAAGGAGGAGCGAUGAAAACAACUGAACUGGUCCUGGGGAGGCGCCUAACUACUGUUCUCGUACAGUUUUCGCUCCUUGAUUUGAAUGUCGUCGUCGCUGGUAAUUGAAUUGAAACUCGGCUGUGCUACUGGAACUGGAACUAAUACUGGGACUGGGACUGGGACUGCAACAACGACUUGCACUCCUCACUGGCACAAUGCAAAGCUUGGACUCCUCAUGCCAAGAAGCAGAUUUUAUCAUAAAUGACACGCUUAAGAAGCUAAAAGGCGAUAAUCCACUGAAUGCGAGCUCACAGGGCUUGCCGCAUGCCGUUGGCUCUGCUGUUCAACAGCAAUUUGUUUACCAAGCGUCGCAGGGCUCACAAGGCUCACCACAGCCACAGAAUCAGCCGCAGUCAUACCAUCAGCUGCACACGGUGUUGCAGUCCACAUGCUCACCCACGCUUGCCAUCAACAAUAGCCAGCAACAGCAGCAGCAGCAACCACAACCACAACAAGUACCAGCUGCUCCGGUCCCCGUCAGCGUACGAUCUUUAUUACAGGCGAUACCUCAAAUACCUGCGCAACCGCCAAUCUGCAUAUUCGAUGACGACGAAUCGCCUACUGAGCUGCCUGCUAGUGGCAACAUUGUCAUACUCUCGGAGCAGCCACCCGCUUCAUCUGCAACAUCUGCCGGGCUGCCUUGUUCUGGGAUUGCGAUAGCGCCGUCCCCUUCAUCAUGCUCUUCAUCAACAACGACGCUGUCCAAUUUGAACUCGAUCACAUCGCCUUCACCAGUAGUUCCUGACCUGCUGCUGUCCACGCCACCGGGUGUCAAUUCCAGCUUAAAUAGCAAUAACACCUCCGCCACAUCGUCACAUAUUUUUCAGCACCUACAACAGCAGCCACAGCCGCACCAGCAGCAACAGCAAUCUUACAGCAGCACUAAGAAGGUUGAUAGACGGCUCCCCCAAAGCAUUUCAAGUGCUUCGUCCGGCAUUACAAGCAGUCACAAUCAACAGCACCAUCAUCACCUGCAAAUCCAUCAGCCUCAGUCGCACAACCACCAAAAUGUUCUGUCGUCUCCCACAUCGUCGCCUAGCAAACGGUCUAAAGGGAGCAGUAGCAACAACAACAAUAGCAAGGAGUGUAGUUACUCUAGUCGCAACACAGCUCCGACGUCUGCAUCACCGCGUGCUGGCGCCGGAGCUGGCUCCAAUACCAAUACUAACAACAAUGCCAGUAGCACCUUAUCCAACUCAGUGAACAACAAACGAGAAUCGACGACGAAGUUCUUUAAUAUCCACGACAAAAUCAAGGAGCUAUAUCUGCAAUUGUUAAGUAACGAUUUAAACCAUUUCGCGGAAACUGGGCUGAAGCAGCGAAGUCGUUCAUUCAUUCUGGAUCGACUUGUUGAGUGCGAGCGAUUAAACACCAUUGUCGUCAACUUGUACCCUGGUAACAAGGGCUACUCCCUGGCACUCCACUACGAUGAACAAAUAAUGCUUAAUCCGCUUACAAACGAAUGGAUCGUCACGGAUCCCGCUCACAUCCACGGAAACCACACCAUCGAAAACUCGGCUAGCACUGCUAGUCGUAACAAAGCUCACGCCGAUAGCGACGCUAGCAAUAAUCUUUUCAGGAUGAAGUCGAGACUGAACGAAACCGAUGCAUCACCUGGAGACGCAGCAUCAGCGCCUAUAUCAUCUGGCUAUGGCUUGGUUGAAGUACUGCGUUGGCCCUAUGAAAACGAUUUGCUCCUGCAGUGCAUCGAUCGCGAACUCCUGCCCGAAUUUCUCAUGGAUCUGCUGAGCGCCGAAACAGUCACCCUGAGCUCCCCACAAGAUGGAAGCGACGGGUCGCGGGUGUAUGCCAAGCCCAGCGUCUUCUAUGCUGGCUGUGUAAUUGCGCAAAUACGCGAUUUCCGCCAGACAUUUGCCACCUCAACAAAUAUCUGUGAUAUGAAGCACAUCCUGCUGCGGCCCAGCAAUGCGACCCUGUUCGCGGACGUGCAGCAACUGGGAAGUUCGUUGGGCUGGGCCGGCUCAACGCCAGAGGACCGGCUAACGAUCGAAAGCCAACUGGUGCUGGCCACGGCGGAGCCACUGUGUCUGGAGCCAGACCCCAGUAUAGGUCGCCAGUCCAUUAAUGCACAGCACGAGCGUCAACGCUUCAACUCGCACGAAAUGCGCCGCCAAAUGAAAAAGUUCACCCAGGUGGCCAUCAAUCGCAAGCGCAAGCUAGAUCAGUUCACGCAUCACCAAGGACUCGAGCUCUGUGACUAUCUAACACGACUGCGUCAGCGUCCGCGUACCUCCAGCAACAGCACAGCGAAUGCAACCCCCGCGACAGCGCCCAGCAACAACCCGUUGGUGGGUGCCAUGCUCUCUUCAUUCACCUCAAAGGUGCCACGGCGACCACACGAAGUCAUCAGACCCAUAAGACCACCUACCCUGGAUUACCCGGUCAAGCUGAAGGUGCCCGAAAACGUAAUAAGUGUGGAGAAGUACGCGAAAACUUUCGAGCCACUGAACGAGUUCAGCGAUGCUUGCAAGGAAGGCUGCCAGACGAAUUGCCGACACAACUUUCAGCCGCAGCUCAUUGAGGAAUAUGUGCUGGAGACGGAACGCGAAGCGAGCGAGGGCCGGCGAGCUCUAUAUCACAUCAAACUCUCAAUUUUCCAACGCCCCUCCGAUGCAGAAUAUCUUGGCGAGCUGUACGUGGACCGCGAUUAUCGCGAGGGCGAACGUAAUGGAGAAUCGUGUCGAUUCGCACUUGGCACCCGUGUCCAUGCGAAUCGAUAUAUUCAGCAAUUCCGGGAAAUAUUUACUGAAGAGGGACGCAAGGCUGUUAAAAUCACGCACCUUAUACCCGGACAUGUGCCAAUUGUUACCCACACUGGACUUACAAAUGAACAACGAUUGUUGUUGCAGCAGCAGCAGCAGCAACAACAACAGCAACAGCAGCAGCAGCAACAACAACAGCAACAACAUCAGCAGCAACAACAACAGCAGCAACAACGACAGUUUAGUCAACAGCCACAACAGCUACCCGCUACAGUGCAUCAUGUCGCGCAAACACAUCCAAACGUCACUCUGUCUCGGCAACCAGCAAUCGUUACUAAGGUGGCGGGUCUGCAACAAACGUUUCGGCAGCAACAGCAGGCGGUUGCCACUACUCAAUUCAAUGCAGAUGGCACACUGCAAGUCCAUCAGCAACAGCCUCAACUCGGCAGUGGCAACAACAGCAUUUUACAGCAGCCAACGCAACAGCAGCAGCAACAACAACACCCGCAUAUACAACUUCUUACAGCCAGCGGCAAUGCAUCCGCCAGUACUACACAUCAAGUGAGUCUGGGCAACGGAUCACUGGUGCUGCUGCAACAACAGCCGCAACAACAACAACAACAACAACAACAACAGCAGCAACAGCAGCAGCAGCAGUUAAAUACCACAAUGCAACACUCAGGCAUCACUAUACAUCCCGCUAAUAUACAACACCAAAAGGCGACGGCAGGCCAGCUGAACACGGCAAUAGGUGCCAACUCCGCAUUACGCGCCCAGCUCAACUCCAACGUGCCAAUCCUCCAAUCGCAGCUAAAAGGGUCGUCGAUUGUUACAACACAUCAACUGCUACAGAAACAACAACAACAGCAGCAGCAACAGCAACAACAAAUAACUGCCACAAACAACAAUACAAUCAACAACAACAGUAGCAACAAUAAUAACAGCACGGCUGCGAUAAAUGCCAUAGUCACUAGCAUCAUGAACUCUGCUAACCAAUACCAGCAACAGCAACAGCAACAGCAACACCAUCAACAACAAGAACAGCAGCAGCACUCGAGCGGCACGCCCACCUCCAACGCCAACUCGACGUCUAUCAUCAACAUUAGCAGCAACAGCAGUGGCAGUCCUGCAACAACUUUAAAGAACUCGGGCAAUGCCUCUAUACUAAAUUUGUUGAAUAGCGCCCCAGCGGCCAUGACCAGCACGCCAGUCGCUAGUGGCACGUUCACUACGUCGUCGACGGGUCAGCAGCAAACGUUGACGUUGGUGCAGCAUCAGCAGCAGCAGCAGCAACAACAACAACAGCAGCAGCAGCAACAACAAUCGGUUCCCGCCAAUGUGGAUGCGACAACAGCAACCUAUGUGCAGACGACGCGCGGAACGCCGACACUGGUAAAUGCUCAACGCAAGCAGCCGUCGAGCGAGGUUUUGCAGAGUCUUCUGAAUUCGAACCGUAAAAUUAACAUCGUUGGCGCAAGUAGUGGAACAACGUUUCGUACUAACUCAGCUGGUAAUCUUAUAGCCGUCAAUCUGAACCAGGCUCAAGGUCAAGGUGCGCAGCAGGCUGCCGAUGGCAGUCAGUCGGUGCGUGUGUCCAUGUCUGCACUUGCGUCGCAACUGGCAUCGCCUCCGGCAGUGAUGACGAAUCCUCCCACUGGGUAUGGCGCUUACACUGUCAGCACAGGAGGCGUGUGUGGCAGCCUCAAAAUACUCAAUACCGGCCAACAGCAGCAGCAGCGCAUUCUGAGCUCGUUGCGAAGGGAUAGCACCACUGCGCCACCAAAUGCGAUUGUGGUGGGCAUGGCAGCACCCUCACCUGGCAGCGACUCCAAUGCCUCAAAUGCGAGUGGCUUUGCCGUGCCCACGAACUUAUCGUCUGCAUCAAGUGGAGGCAGCGGUGCUCUGAAUGCAUUACUCACAAAUGCUGCCACGCCCUCGCCGUCUGGCUCGGAUCAUUCGCAGUCGUCGCAAACGCAUCCGAAUCAGGUCCUGCUUGAAAGACUCAGCAACGUGACAUCAAAUGUGUCAGCCGUGUCAGCGGUGGCCAUGCCGCACAUGUCGCCACAGCAACCAUCACCGGUACAGUCGACCCAACAACAGCAGCAAUUCAUCACCAAGACACUUGUGCAUUCGCCCGCCACAUCAUCCAUACACUCGCCAAUGUCGAGUCCACAUCCCCAGCCGUCGGCGUCUCCCCAGCAGCAACAGCAGACGACGGCGACGUUGAAUCUGCAGGGCAUCAAUCUGUCCCAGCUGCAGGGUGCCAUGGCGAACUUUGCAGGUCUUCAGAAUGUUCAGGUCCAGAUUCCAGGCUUUACGCAGCCCAUUUCACUGCAGUUUUCCGGCAACAGUCUGCAGACACCUGUGCAGGUGCAACAGCAACAGUCGCAACAGCAAAGCACGACAUGUGGAGGCACAACGAGUGGAUCAUUGGCGCCUGCCCAGACUCAACAGCGCAGUGUGUUGGUCUCGGUGCCUGUGUCGACGCAGCAGCAAUUGUCGCACUCGAUUACGUUGCAGACGACGCAAUCUUCGCCUCAGCAGCCGCAGCAUGCCCCGCCGACAGGAACCAUCGUCAGUCUGCCCUCAUCGGUGGGUGGCACCCAAACGGUAGUCAUCACAAACAAUGCAGCUAGCAGUGGAGGAGCGAGUGGAGGCGGCAAUGGAAGUGGAACAGGAGCUACUACUGCUAUGCUCACGCUUCCCAUUGCUCAACUAGUCGGUGCCGGAGUACAGAAACUAAAUCCUCAAACAAUACGUACCUCAAGUGGUGGUGGUGUAGGUGUUGUAGCGACAGCAGCAACUGGAGCUAUACAACCGAGAGCGCGCAACGUCCAGGUCGUGGGCACCAAACAACUAGCUAGCAGUCGACAGCUGCUCACCGCACAGCGUCAGAUUGGUAGUUCGACGCUAAAGAUUGCAACAACGGCUGUCAACAGCAAUGCCGUUACGAAUAGCACGAGCAUAGGUGCCGCACCGAUUGUGAUGUCUGCGCAGAAAAUGCAAUUGAAAACUGUGAAAACGCCGACGCAGCAAGCACAUCAGCAGCAGCAUCGAAUACUCAACCAGAGCACUGUCACCGCAACUUCCCAGACUCUGCCUAGUCCCAGUCAAGUGCAACAUCAACAGCUACAGCACAUACAAAUUACUGGUCGGUCGGCGCCCACAAAUGCCAGCGUAAUGAGUCAGCGCACCCUAACAGCUCUGGCAGCGGCCAAGCAGCAGCAGCAACAGGCAGCCGUCAAUCGACGGCGGUCCACCACCGAUGCCACCAAGUAGACACCAAACUUGGUACUGGAGAAAUCAAUUAAUGCGGACGUACCAGUUAUUUCUAUUCUGGGUUCAGGAGAGGAGACAAGGAAUAAGGCUACGCGUCACAUAUUUUAUAGUUACCCAUAUAUCGGUAUACAUUUUUGUGUGUAUAACUGUGUGUAAGCUGCGCACGCCACAUGAGAUCAAAUCAAACCAACAGUCUGGGAGUGGACUGGGAUUGCAACUGUGCAUAAAGGUGAUGCUCGUAAUCAAGGGGAGGGCGAUGGUAACUGCGUUUCGUUUUUGUGUGCCGUUUGCAGAAAUUUCAGCUUAACCACAAAACGAAUGAAGUGUAUAGCUCAUACGGAUAUACAUAUAUCCAUUUCAACAAUGUCUAUUAAUUUGGCUCUCCAACUCCAAUUUGUUACACUCUAAGACUAACUACGUAAGCGUCGUGGUAACUUUAAGCAUAAGCAGUAAUGCGAGAACGGCUCCUCCCCACGAAAUGCAAAUGCAAAUGCAAAUGAAAACAAAACAAAAGCAAUAGUAAGAAAAACACAAUAUAAAAUGUAAAAUUGAUUGUAAACACACAGAAUAAUAUAUGGCUAACUAUUACGAUUUGAAUUAGU